rnacentral:rRNA from 1 species
AUUGAACGCUGGCGGCAGGCCUAACACAUGCAAGUCGAGCGGAUGAAGCGAGCUUGCUCCUGGAUUCAGCGGCGGACGGGUGAGUAAUGCCUAGGAAUCUGCCUGGUAGUGGGGGAUAACGUCCGGAAACGGGCGCUAAUACCCCAUACGUCCUGAGGGAGAAAUUGGGGGAUCUUCGGACCUCACGCUAUCAGAUGAGCCUAGGUCGGAUUAGCUAGUUGGUGGGGUAAAUGCCUACCAAGGCGACGAUCCGUAACUGGUCUGAGAGGAUGAUCAGUCACACUGGAACUGAGACACGGUCCAGACUCCUACGGGAGGCAGCAGUGGGGAAUAUUGGACGAUGGGCGAAAGCCUGAUCCAGCCAUGCCGCGUGUGUGAAGAAGGUCUUCGGAUUGUAAAGCACUUUAAGUUGGGAGGAAGGGCAGUAAGUUAAUACCUUGCUGUUUUGACGUUACCAACAGAAUAAGCACCGGCUAACUUCGUG